GACGAACGCUGGCGGCGUGCUUAACACAUGCAAGUCGAACGGUGAAGCUCCAGCUUGCUGGAGUGGAUCAGUGGCGAACGGGUGAGUAACACGUGAGCAACCUGCCCCUGACUCUGGAAUAAGCGCUGGAAACGGCGUCUAAUACUGGAUACGAGAAGGGCCCGCAUGGGCACUUUCUGGAAAGUUUUUCGGUUGGGGAUGGGCUCGCGGCCUAUCAGCUUGUUGGUGAGGUAAUGGCUCACCAAGGCGACGACGGGUAGCCGGCCUGAGAGGGCGACCGGCCACACUGGGACUGAGACACGGCCCAGACUCCUACGGGAGGCAGCAGUGGGGAAUAUUGCACAAUGGGCGAAAGCCUGAUGCAGCGACGCCGCGUGAGGGAUGACGGCCUUCGGGUUGUAAACCUCUUUCAGCAGGGAAGAAGCGAAAGUGACGGUACCUGCAGAAGAAGCACCGGCUAGCUACGUG
rnacentral:rRNA from 1 species